CUAAGGCCUCGCCGCUUCGCCGUCAGGCACGGCGGGGUCGGCUCGCCCCCGUCGCCGCCCACUUCGACACCACCCCAGGGCACCGCCCCACUUCCAUCGAUCUGGCAACAGCUUUGCUCUGCUGCAGCGACGUGCUGCCCCAAUAUCCCGUACAGCUCGGGUUCCGAGGCGGAGGCAGAGGGUGAGGAAGCGCAGGCGCUAGCGCUGCAGCUCGCGGACAAAUCGAGGGAACUGCCCGUGGCGCGGACGGCGGGCGGUCGGGCGGGCGGUCGGGCAACGAGAGCUAGGGGAGUUUCCUCUUCAUAUGUAGCAUAGUCCUCAUGGUCCCCCGAGUUCCCUGCAAAGUCAGAAAGUAAAGAGUAUGCACAUCACUACUAGGAGGGAUACCAAUACCACUGGAACUAUCACUGCGAUGAGCACGGCAGUUGUUCAGCUUGUUACAACAGAUCAUAUCGAGUAAGCAGUCGUGCAACAGAGCAUACCAAACCUUAAGUCUAGCAGACCGGCCUGAAAUCUUCGAAGAAUAUAACUGGGGAUUGGUCCCUCGAGCUUGUUAUUUGCCAAAUUACUGAAAAAUAGUAGCUGGAAUCAUUCAUGUAAAAUUUAUGUCAUUAAUCAAAUACUGCUCAGCACAGGGACUUACAGAACUGCUAGUGACUUUAUUUGACAGUCUGGAAUGGUGCCCACCAGAUUGU